rnacentral:rRNA from 1 species
GAAUUUUCCGCAAUGGGCGAAAGCCUGACGGAGCAAUACCGCGUGAGGGAUGACGGCCUAUGGGUUGUAAACCUCUUUUCUCAAGGAAGAAGAUCUGACGGUACUUGAGGAAUAAGCCACGGCUAAUUCCGUGCCAGCAGCCGCGGUAAUACGGGAGUGGCAAGCGUUAUCCGGAAUUAUUGGGCGUAAAGCGUCCGCAGGCGGCCUUUCAAGUCUGCUGUUAAAGCGUGGAGCUUAACUCCAUUAAGGCAGUGGAAACUGUUGGGCUUGAGUGUGGUAGGGGCAGAGGGAAUUCCCGGUGUAGCGGUGAAAUGCGUAGAUAUCGGGAAGAACACCAGUGGCGAAGGCGCUCUGCUGGGCCGUAACUGACGCUCAUGGACGAAAGCCAGGGGAGCGAAAGGGAUUAGAUACCCCUGUAGUC